rnacentral:rRNA from 1 species
UACGUAGGGUGCGAGCGUUGUCCGGAAUUAUUGGGCGUAAAGAGCUCGUAGGCGGUUCGUCGCGUCGGCUGUGAAAACCCGAGGCUCAACCUCGGGCCUGCAGUCGAUACGGGCGGACUGGAGUUCGGCAGGGGAGACUGGAAUUCCUGGUGUAGCGGUGAAAUGCGCAGAUAUCAGGAGGAACACCGGUGGCGAAGGCGGUUCUCUGGGCCUUACCUGACGCUGAGGAGCGAAAGCGUGGGGAGCAAACAGG